UGCAUGGUUGUCGUCAGCUCGUGCCGUGGAGGUGUCGGGUUAAGGUCCCAUAACGAGCGCAACCCUACCUUAGUUGCCAUCAGGUUAAGCUGGGGACUCUAAAGGAACUGCUACGCAAGUAGUGAGGAAGGCGGGGAUGACGUCAAAUCAGCACGGCCCUUACGUCCAGGGCUACACACGUGCUACAAUGGCCGAUACAGAGGGCAGCUACCUGGUGACAGGAUGCAAAUCUCCAAAGUCGGUCUCAGUUCGGAUCGGAGUCUGCAACCCGACUCCGUGAAGUUGGAUUCGCUAGUAAUCGCGCAUCAGCCAUGGCGCGGUGAAUACGUUCCCGGGCCUU
rnacentral:rRNA from 1 species